UAGAGCCAGGCACGGUAGAUUCAUUUAAGGUGCGUCUGGACAGAUGCAAGAGUAGGUGGGGGGCAGAGGGUUCCAGAUACUUGGGAAUUGGGUGAUUUUUGGGUGGAUUUGGAUCGGCUCAGCCUUGGGGGAGGCCGAAGGGCCUGUUCGUGGCUUGUAAAUUUUCUUUGUUGCUUUGUGCCGGUUCCUCCCGCAGACCAAAGAUGUGAAGGUAAGGUGGAUUGGCCAUGCUAAAUUGCCAGAGAUGUGUGGGUUAGAAUAGAUUCCCUACAAUGUGGAAAACUUUGUUGAUUAGCCAAUGUAAAUGUAGGGUUUUGGGGAUACAGUGAGAGACUGGUUCUGGGUGGGAUGCAGUUUGGAUGGUCAGUGCAGAUUUGAUGGGCUGAAUGGCCUUUUUCCACACUAGGGUUUCAAUGAUUUUUAAGAUCCAUCUAGGAUAAGCAGACCAAAACUGCAUAUAAUGCAGAUAGAAUGACUUGAAAUGGAGCAGCACUGAGGUUGUUCUAAAGACUUUAAUAUGGCAUUAGUGUGAUUGGGUAUAAAGAUAGACCUACCAUUGAGGGUACACUGACUUGUGGGAUAACUGGUUGCUGCCUCUGCAGGUUUGACGGAUGAGAUAAGUGAACUCAUUUCCAAUUGUUCAAAUGAAGCAAAUGGUUUAGAUUAGUUACUUGGAGAAGGAUUGUUCUUAAUAACUGAUAGUGCAAGUAUUAGAACACAUUUAAAAUUUUGGGGAAAAGAUAGGAAGGAUGUGAGAAAUCGAGUUAAUGCAGUGUAUAAUGAACUGGAACUCACUGCUAAUGAGAGUAAUGGAAUAAAUAAAAUGAAUAACUUCAAAAAGCAAUUAGGUAGAUAUUUGAGGGAAGGUUUCAUGGGGGAACGGGAAUGAUCAUUCUACAGGUAGCUGGGAUGAACUCACUGAACUGAAUGACUGCCUUCAGUAUUAUAAUGUUGCUUAACCAACCAAAUAAAUAUGGCAAUUUCUCAUGAGGAAAGGACUGAAGUUGCACAGUAAGCACCAAAAAUUAGUAGGCAUGAGAUAGAACUUGCCUCUGCAGUAUCUGAAUGACAAUCUAAACGUUGAUAACAUGAGCUGUAAUAUUAUUUUCAUGUUAAGCUUAAUGUUCCUUUUCCCAUACGUUUAUGCUGCUGUUUCCCUUCUAAGUUUUUUCCAUCUUGACCUACAGGUACUGGGUUACAAAUCCAUGGAUGGUAUCUGCUUUCUGCCCAAGUCUCCAUUGUUUGUGUUGGAACCAAGACAAAGUUGAACAGCCUGUGGCUCUGGAGCUAUAUGGGAGCCUUAAGCGUAUUUAUUUGCAACUUCCAACCUUUCCAAUUGGAUGACAUUAUCAUGAAAGAUAAUUCUUUAAAAAUGAAUAGAAGUCCAGAACAUAACAAAUCAACAACUAGACACUAGCACAAUUUUCCUUAUUAAUGUUUGCUUAAUUAGAAAUUUAAUUUUUGCAAAAACAUCUAGCAUUUUUAGGCAUUUUGAGAAAUAUGUCCUAAUUGUUGGCUUACAAAGUUGAAGGUUAAAGCCCUCCCCCACUAUAAUAUGAUCUCUUCGAUGUUGGCAGUCUAUCUUGAUUAAUUUUACAGAUCUUAGAGACUUUAACAUUUGCAAGUAUUGUUAUAAUUUGCCAAAUUAUAUUAGGAAACAUGUCAUCCAUGGGAUUUUACUUUUACUGCAAAAGUGCUCUAAUUAAUGUAGGCACGAAAUGCCAAUCAUGUUGCACUUUACAGUUUCAAAUUAUUAUUUUGACUAAAACAAAUCUCUGUGCUCUAUAUAAACCUGUUGGAAUGAUAUAGCAAUACCAUUAUUAGAUUUAAUGCUUUGAUGUGAGGAACAGACCUUAUGAUUAUAGCCAUUCUUUCUAAAAUAGCUGAAAUCAGAAUCUGUUAUUAGAAGCCUUUUUUUAAUCAUGAGAAGCAAUAGCUGAACACAAUUGUUUUAAUUCUAUUUAUCUUAAGUUAAAACUUGUUCUAAAGAUGAGUUUACUGACAGAAAUUAUAGAUUUUGACAAUUAAUAUUGCUUAGAAAUGUUGCUAAAGCUUUUUUUCUUGCUUUCAUCAGGACAAAUGCAAGAAUGACAAAUUUCAAAUGGAUCACCAUAAUUUAUGACACGAGAAAAGGGGAAUGGAGGAGGCGACUCCUGGACUGGAGGCCGGCACGGGAGGCAAGCUCCAGACCAGGCCAACAUGGAAGGUGAGCCCCAGAGGCAAGUUCCAGACCAGGCUGACAUGAGAGGCGAGUCCCAGAGGCAAGAACCUAGACCAGGCCGGUGUGGGAUGCGAGUCCCAGAUGCAAGUUCCAGACCAGGCCAACAUGAGAGGCGAGUCCCUGAGGCAAGUUCCAGACCAGGCCAACAUGAGAGGUGAAUCCUGGAGGCAAGCUCCAGACCAGGCCGGUGCGGGAGGUCAGUCGCAGAGGCAAGCCCCAGACCAGGCCGACAUGGGAGGCAUGUCCCAGACCAGGCCAAUGUGGGAGGUGAGUGUAAGAGGAUGGUUCCAAAUUUGUCCAAUUCUGCUGCAAAUCGACUUGCGUCAAGUGCGAAACCAAAUGGCAACAGGAGGGCCCGGGGCAUAAAGAAGAAAGUUGUGGAAUAUAAAGCUCAAAGCUCAUCACCAGAACACGCCAAGCCCCUCAAACUACGACCAUUUGAGAGCAGCGGGAGCCGGGUGAUUGGUGGCAGAAGUUUCCUUAGAGCUUUUCACGAUUUGUUGCUGUGCUCUGACUGGAGGCCAUCAGAACUCCAUUCGCGUUUCUGAUGUGAAACUGGGUGAACCCUUGAGGAACCUUAAGCCCGGCUGGAUAACUUUGAUUCUGAGUGAUGGUCAAUUAGUCACCUACUUUGCAUUUCUCUUUUUUCCCCCAUUGUUUUUCAUGGAAACCAUAAUCAGAAAGAUGUAAAAUAUGUGACUCAUAUCAAUAUCUACAUUUCCACAUCGUUGCCCACCAGCACGUCCAUCCCCACCUCCCCGGACUCCAAACACUCAUGUUUAAAAGAGCACACAGACUCUGACCAAAGUUUUAAGUAUUUUUAUUCAGUUAUCUU